AGAACGGGCCUUUCAGGCAUCCUCUCCUAAACCUUUCACGGCCGGUCCCCAGGGAUCGGCCUUUUUUUUGGCGUGC
rnacentral:sRNA from 1 species